rnacentral:rRNA from 1 species
UACGGAGGAUGCAAGCGUUAUCCGGAAUGAUUGGGCGUAAAGCGUCCGCAGGUGGCUGUGUAAGUCUGCUGUUAAAGAGUCUAGCUCAACUAGAUAAAAGCAGUGGAAACUACACGGCUAGAGUACGUUCGGGGCAGAGGGAAUUCCUGGUGUAGCGGUGAAAUGCGUGGAGAUCAGGAAGAACACCAGUGGCGAAGGCGCUCUGCUAGGCCGUAACUGACACUGAGGGACGAAAGCUAGGGGAGCGAAUGGG